UACAGAGGUCUCAAGCGUUGUUCGGAUUCAUUGGGCGUAAAGGGCGCGUAGGCGGCGGGGUCGAGUCGGGUGUGAAAUCUUGGGGCUUAACCCCGAAACGGCACUCGAAACUGCCCGGCUGGAGGGCCGGAGAGGAGAUCGGAAUUCACGGUGUAGCAGUGAAAUGCGUAGAGAUCGUGAGGAAGACCCGUGGCGAAGGCGGAUCUCUGGACGGCUAAAACUGACGCUGAGGCGCGAAGGCCAGGGGAGCAAACGGG
rnacentral:rRNA from 1 species